CCUACGGGAGGCAGCAGUGGGGAAUAUUGGACAAUGGGGGAAACCCUGAUCCAGCGACGCCGCGUGAGUGAAGAAGUACUUCGGUACGUAAAGCUCUAUCAGCAGGAAAGAAAAUGACGGUACCUGACUCAGAAGCCCCGGCUAAAUACGUGCCAGCAGCCGCGGUAUUACGUAGGGUGCAAGCGUUAUCCGGAUUUACUGGGUGUAAAGGGAGCGUAGACGGCAGCGCAAGUCUGGAGGGAAAUGCCGGGGGCCAACCCCGGAACUGCUCUGGAAACUGGGAAGCUUGAGUGCAGGAGAGGUAAGCGGAAUUCCUGGUGUAGCGGUGAAAUGCGUAGAUAUCAGGAGGAACACCGGCGGCGAAGGCGGCUUACUGGACUGUAACUGACGUUGAGGCGCGAAGGCGUGGGGAGCAAACAGGAUUAGAUACCCCAGUAGUC
rnacentral:rRNA from 1 species